CCCUACGGGGCGCAGCAGGCGCGAAAACUUUACACUGCGCGAAAGCGCGAUAAGGGGGCCUCGAGUGCGUGCGCAAUGCGUACGCUUUUCAGAUGCCUAAAAAGCAUGUGGAAUAAGGGCCGGGCAAGACCGGUGCCAGCCGCCGCGGUAACACCGGCGGCUCAAGUGGUGGCCGCUAUUAUUGGGCUUAAAGGGUCCGUGGCCGGACCAGUUAGUCCCUUGGGAAAUCUUACGGCUUAACCGUAAGGCUGCCAAUGGAUACUGCUGGUCCUGGGACCGGGAGAGGUAAGAGGUACUUCAGGGGUAGGAGUGAAAUCCUGUAAUCC
rnacentral:rRNA from 1 species